rnacentral:lncRNA from 1 species
AGUAUGAAAAUUCUUUUAUGAUGUUGAAGAUUAGACAAAACUUCAACCACAUAGCAUACUAAAAAAAUUUAUCCUCACCAAUCCAGGUUCUGGUACCACUUAUCGGGAAAAACAAAGUCAUAGAAAAAAAGAGAAACACGAUAACAACACAAGAGAUUAACGUGGAAACUCCAAAAUCGGAGAAAAAACCACGAUCUUGUCAAAGGACAACCAAAGAAUAACACUGUAAAAAUUAUUACAACACAUAGACUAUCUUCAACCACCAUAAG